CCUACGGGUGGCAGCAGUGGGGAAUAUUGGACAAUGGGCGAAAGCCUGAUCCAGCCAUGCCGCGUGUGUGAAGAAGGCCUUCGGGUUGUAAAGCACUUUCAGUGGGGAAGAAAGCCUUGGGGCUAAUACCCUCGAGGAAGGACAUCACCCACAGAAGAAGCACCGGCUAACUCCGUGCCAGCAGCCGCGGUAAUACGGAGGGUGCGAGCGUUAAUCGGAAUUACUGGGCGUAAAGCGCGCGUAGGCGGUCUGAUAAGCCGGUUGUGAAAGCCCCGGGCUCAACCUGGGAACGGCAUCCGGAACUGUCAGGCUAGAGUGCAGGAGAGGAAGGUAGAAUUCCCGGUGUAGCGGUGAAAUGCGUAGAGAUCGGGAGGAAUACCAGUGGCGAAGGCGGCCUUCUGGACUGACACUGACGCUGAGGUGCGAAAGCGUGGGUAGCAAACAGGAUUAGAUACCCAGUAGUC
rnacentral:rRNA from 1 species